CAUUUCACUAAAUAAAGGUUCGAACCCCUAUUGGUCAACAUGCUUUUAUCUCCUGUUAUAAAUACACCAAGCAGUCAGGGCCCUCUCUUUCACAGAUGACCAUUAUUUCUCACCGACCAGCCCCCAACCUCGGCAUCCAGAAUUUAGGGCCAACAGUGUCGGAACUGUACUUGCUAGUAGUUACCUAGGUAAUUUCAAGAUGCCCAUCUUUCAGAAUGUUUAAAAAUGAAAGUUCUUAAGGUGACAGUCUCUCAAAUAACAGAUAAAGAAAUUAGGCAAGGUACUGCUGUCUCCAUCUCUGUAAAAUAAAACCUAGGCACUUUCACUGAUAAUAGACUAGCACCAACAUGCAGUCAGUAACACGGGACACUAAAAACAAGCCAUUUGGAUCACACAAAGAAGAAUAUUGACUCGUGCCACUUUAAAACAUGUGAUAUUAUUUGGCAUUCACAAUUCUUUCCCUAUUUGUUGUCUGUAUUGAAUUUUUCCUUUGACUUAGUGCACUUGCUCAUGUAUCUUGCCCUCUUUUAAACCUUGGUUGGUGACGGUUCUUUGCACAAUUGCGGAGGUCUUUUGCUACUCCAAUUGCAUAAAUAACUGAAGUAAGGCUGCAAAAGUCAACCGAGCUUGGGCAUCAAGGACAAUGAAGUUGCUGAGUAUCUCUUGUGCCUCACUGACUCCUUUCCAGUCAGGAGACGACCAGUUUGAAGCAGAAGAAUGUCCUGAUAAUGGCAUAGAGCCAAAGCGAUUCCAUCCUCUGGACAUGAGCUGUGUGGUGUCCCCGUCCUCAUACCUAUUCCAGAACCACACUGGUCCCUGCUCUCGUCUCCGAACUGUCGGAGGAUGGACCUGCUUUUGCAAGGACCUGAACUCCCUGUGUUGUUGCUUAAGAUUUUUACCCAGGCAUGAAAAGGAAAUGAAUUCUGCCAACUCAUCGCUGUGUCUGUGGGAACAGAAACUCAGGGCACCUAUUCUCUGCAAGAAAAGCAUCAAUUCCCUGUAAGAAAAGUUUCCCACCUGAGACAAUGACACAGACCAACAUAAAUGCUCUUUUGGUUUUAUGAUUUCUGAUAUUAGAUUUUACUUGAUUUUUUUAUUUUUAAUUUUUUAAAUUUCAUUUUGAGAGUUAAAAGGGUUACUUCUUUUAUUUCCAGCAGUUCAAGGAAUUUCAGAGCAAUCUUGGUCCAGAGUUGGUAAUAAAGACAUUUAAAUGAGAUGGGAAUACUGUCUGUUAUGCUGACCAGUACUAAGUCUCCCGCAGUUCAUUUUUCCUGAGAAUAAAUGCCUGUCUGAUACAUCAAGACCUAUUUAUGCUUAGUAAUUGUGUGAUUCUACAUCCUCUAAAGCACCUCCACCUGAAGAUUAGUCAUUCCGCCA
rnacentral:lncRNA from 1 species